rnacentral:rRNA from 1 species
GAUAAGCUGCGAUAAGCUUUGGGUAGGCGCAAAUAGCCAGUGAUCCAGAGAUUUCCGAAUGGGGAAACCUACAUAGUUAACACUAUGUACUAUGCACUGAAUAAAUAGGUGUAUGGAGGUAAACCCGGGGAACUGAAACAUCUAAGUACCCGGAGGAAGAGAAAGAAACAUCGAUUUCCAAAGUAGCGGCGAGCGAAAUGGAAAGAGCCCAAACCUAAGCCUUUGGCUUAGGGGUUGAGGACAGA